rnacentral:rRNA from 1 species
GCAGCAGCCACGGUAAUACGAAGGGGGCUAGCGUUGCUCGGAAUGACUGGGCGUAAAGGGCGCGUAGGCGGCUUGUACAGUCAGAUGUGAAAUUCCUGGGCUCAACCUGGGGACUGCAUUUGAGACGUAUGGGCUUGAGUGGAGAAGAGGGUCGUGGAAUUUCCAGUGUAGAGGUGAAAUUCGUAGAUAUUGGAAAGAACACCGGUGGCGAAGGCGGCGACCUGGUCUUUAACUGACGCUGAGGCGCGAAAGCGUGGGGAGCAAACAGGAUUAGAUACCCGAGUAGUCCCUGUCUCUUAUAC